GCCGGGCGCGGUGGCUCAUGCCUGUAAUCCCAGCUCUUUGGGAGGCAGAGGCGGGUGGAUCACCUGAGGUCGGGAGCUCAAGACUAGCCUGACCAACAUGGAGAAACCCCGUCUCUA
rnacentral:SRP_RNA from 1 species